GAUCAGGACCAGCGCCACGGUGCCGUGAUCCACAUCCGCCGCCGUGGGGCAGUGGCGGUUGAUGAUCUCUCGCACCUGGAGCACUUCCAGCAGCGCAUACAGCACCGGCAAGGCUCCCAGCUGACGCCGCAACUGGGCGCGCGUCAACCAGUCUACGACCUGGGCCAUGGUCAACGCGCCGCUGCGUGCCCAGUUAGCCCACCGCGCGGCCCAGACAACGCGACGAUAUAUCCGCCGCAGCGCAUGUCCCCCGUCGCCCGAUGAUCACGCGCAGACGAUACCGCCAGACAAACAGCGGGCCGUCUCGCCGCUGAUGGGUGAUAACGCCGGCCAACACCGGUGACCCGCUAACGGGUGCAUCGGGCAUGUGCUCUGGCGGCGAGACAAAGACGAAGAUAGCGAUGGCCCAGAAGAGCCAGACCAGGAUUUGCUUUUGGUAAGAUUUCGUGGCAGCAUGCAUAUGGAAUCGCUCCGGCAAGUUGGUUUGAUCACCUAUACUUUGCCACAAAGGGGCGAUUCCGCCACUCAAUCCCCUCUCUAUUCGACUGUUAAGGUGCGAAAUCUAGGCUAAGAGACGAAAGCUAGGGGAGCGAACAGGAUUAGAGACCCUGGUAGUCCUAGCCGUAAACGAUGGAUGCUAGGUGUAUGGUCGGAAGACCGUGUGCCGGAGCAAACGCGAUAAGCAUCCCGCCUGGGGACUACGGCCGCAAGGCUAAAACUCAAACGAAUUGACGGGGCCCCGCACAAGCAGCGGAGCGUGUGGUUUAAUUCGAUGCUACACGAAGAACCUUACCUGGGUUUGACAUGUAGGUGGUAGCGAAGCGAAAGCUGAGUGACCCUUCGGGGAGCCUACACAGGUGCUGCAUGGCUGUCGUCAGCUCGUGCCGUGAGGUGUCGGGUUAAGUCCCGUAACGAGCGCAACCCUUACCCUUAGUUACAAGUGUCUAGGGGGACUGCCGGCGGUAAGCCGGAGGAAGGUGGGGAUGACGUCAAGUCAGCAUGGCCCUUAUAUCCAGGGCUACACACACGCUACAAUGGUUGGUACAAAGGGCAGCGAACCCGCGAGGGGGAGCGAAUCCCAACAAAGCCAAUCUUAGUUCGGAUUGCAGGCUGCAACUCGCCUGCAUGAAGCUGGAGUUGCUAGUAACCGCGCGUCAGCUAUAGUGCGGUGAAUACGUUCCCGGGGCUUGUACACACCGCCCGUCACGUCAUGGAAGUUGGAAACGCCUGAAGCUGGUAGCCUAGC
rnacentral:rRNA from 1 species